rnacentral:rRNA from 1 species
CAACCUGCCCUUCANAGGGGGACAACAGUUGGAAACGACUGCUAAUACCGCAUACGAUCUAACCUUGGCAUCGAGGAUGGAUGAAAGGUGGCCUCUAUUUAUAAGCUAUCACUGAAGGAGGGGAUUGCGUCUGAUUAGCUAGUUGGAGGGGUAACGGCCCACCAAGGCGAUGAUCAGUAGCCGGUCUGAGAGGAUGAACGGCCACAUUGGGACUGAGACACGGCCCAGACUCCUACGGGAGGCAGCAUG